GAACGAACGCUGGCGGCAUGCCUACCCCAUGCAAUUCGAACGAGACCUUCGGGUCUAGUUGCGCACGGGUGCGUAACUCGUGUGAACCUGCCCUUAGGUUCGUAAUAACUCCCCGAAAGUGUUUCUAAUACCGGAUAAUGUCUUCGGACCAAAGCUUUAUCGCCUUUGGAUGGGCCCGCGUUGGAUUAGCUAGUUGGUAGGGUAAAAGCCUACCAAGGCGACGAUCCAUAGCUGGUCUGAGAGGAUGAUCAGCCACACUGGGACUGAGACACGGCCCAGACUCCUACGGGAGGGAGCAGUGGGGAAUAUUGGACAAUGGGCGAAAGCCUGAUCCAGCAAUGCCGCGUGAGUGAUGAAGGCAUUAGGGUUGUAAAGCUCUUUUAACCGGGAUGAUAAUGACAGUACCGGGAGAAUAAGCUCCGGCUAACUCCGUG
rnacentral:rRNA from 1 species